rnacentral:rRNA from 1 species
AACGAACGCUGGCGGCAGGCUUAACACAUGCAAGUCGAACGCCCGCAAGGGAGUGGCAGACGGGUGAGUAACGCGUGGGAACGUGCCCUUCGCUUCGGAAUAGCCCCGGGAAACUGGGAGUAAUACCGGAUACGCCGUAUUGGGAAAGAUUUAUCGGCGAAGGAUCGGCCCGCGUUAGAUUAGCUAGUUGGCGGUGUAAUGGACCCACCAAGGCUACGAUCUAUAGCUGGUCUGAGAGGAUGAUCAGCCACACUGGGACUGAGACACGGCCCAGACUCCUACGGGAGGCAGCAGUGGGGAAUCUUGGACAAUGGGCGCAAGCCUGAUCCAGCCAUGCCGCGUGAGUGAAGAAGGCCUUAGGGUUGUAAAACUCUUUCGCCGGAGAAGAUAAUGACGGUAUCCGGAGAAGAAGCCCCGGCUAACUUCGUGCCAGCAGCCGCGGUAAU